rnacentral:rRNA from 1 species
AACGAACGCUGGCGGCAUGCCUAACACAUGCAAGUCGAACGAGAUCUUCGGGUCUAGUGGCGCACGGGUGCGUAACGCGUGGGAAUCUGCCCUUUGGUUCGGAAUAACAGUUGGAAACGACUGCUAAUACCGGAUGAUGACGAAAGUCCAAAGAUUUAUCGCCAGAGGAUGAGCCCGCGUAGGAUUAGCUAGUUGGUGUGGUAAAGGCGCACCAAGGCGACGAUCCUUAGCUGGUCUGAGAGGAUGAUCAGCCACACUGGGACUGAGACACGGCCCAGACUCCUACGGGAGGCAGCAGUGGGGAAUAUUGGACAAUGGGCGAAAGCCUGAUCCAGCAAUGCCGCGUGAGUGAUGAAGGCCUUAGGGUUGUAAAGCUCUUUCGUCCGGGACGAUAAUGACGGUACCGGAAGAAGAAGCCCCGGCUAACUUCGUGCCAGCCGCCGCCGUAA